GUUUAUAUAGUUUACUUAAAAACAUUACAUUUUCACUGUAAAAAUAAAAAAAUUUUUUUAUAAAUA
rnacentral:tRNA from 1 species